CAAAUAUUCAGUUGUACUGUUAAACAACUAAAGAAAAAGACGAAAGUGCGUUUGCUCCCACACGCUUAGCUAGAAGCUGUCAGCUGACUGAACCAACAGGAAGCAAAAUUUAUACGGUCGAGAGCAUGAAGAAAAUCAAAGGGAAAGCAAGUAGCAAGACUGAAAAGGAAUUUGUGUUUGAAUUCAAGGCAGGGAGACACAACUGUGUUCUCAAAGUACCUUUGCAGUUCCCUGUUCAGGAGAACAUCAGUGACCAUCACGGACGUCUGAUGCUGCUACAUAAAAUACCCUGCUACAUAGAAAACGAACUAAAAGUGUCCCUGUCCGACUUCAUCGAGAAAGAGACCAUUUUGGAUUACGACAGAGAGGCAGAACUGGCCCUGCAAAGACUCACGAUAGGACAUGUCGAUGUAAAUCAGCUCGCCAGUGCGUGGACCAGAGCCUAUGUAGAGACCACGCUAGAGCAUGCGCGACCCGAGGAGCCCUGCUGGGAUGAAGAUUUUGCAGAUGUUUACCACGAGUUGAUCCAUUCUCCUGCCUCUGAUACGCUUCUCAACCUGGAGCACAAUUACUUUGUCCGUAUCUCUGAGCUCAUCAGCGAGAGAGACAUGGAGAUCAAGAAGAUACAAGAGAGACAAGCUGCAGAAAUGGACAAGGUGAUGCAUGAGUUGGGAAAUACACUGAGUGACCAUGAUGUAAAUGCAGUAGCUUCCCAGCACUUUGAUGCACAGCAGGUGCUGGAGAACAAGUGGGUCACUGAACUGAAGCAAGUGACUUGUAUUCAAAAGCAAGAAUAUCAAGAGUGGGUCAUUAAAUUGCACCAGGACCUGCAGAAAUCCAACAACAGCAGCCAAAUUAAUGAGGAGAUUAAGGUACAGCCCAGCCAGCUGUCAGAACCUUCAGAUUCUGGAGGCAGGAUGUUUGAGGAGCAGCCUCAACUGGAAGAAAGCUUCACUAUUCAUUUAGGAGCGCAGUUGAAGACGAUGCAUAACCUGCGGCUGGUCCGGGCAGAUGUGUUGGACUUUUGUAAGCACAGACGUCACGGCAGCAGUGGAGCAAAGUUACGGCGUCUCCAAACGGCCCUUUCGCUCUAUUCCUCGUCACUUUGCGGUUUGGUACUUUUGGUUGACAACAGGGUCAACUCCUACAGUGGCAUCAAGAGAGAUUUCGCCACAGUGGCCAAGGAGUGCACAGACUUCCACUUUCUCUGCCUGGAGGAGCAGCUAGAGGAGGUGCAGCAGGUGGUGCUCUAUGCCAGAGCCCAGCGAAGCAGCAAGCAAAAAGGUCAACCUGAGCUCCCCAGGAAUGGAAAUGAUGAUAAAAGUAAAAAUGUUGAAAGAAAUCCUUCGAAUAUCUUGGCAGGUGAGUUCUAUGUCUCGCGUCACUCCAACCUGUCCGAGGUCCAUGUCAUCUUCCACCUGUGUGUGGACGACAACGUGCGUUCAGGGAACAUCACAGCCAGGGACCCGGCCAUCAUGGGCCUGAGGAACAUUCUGAAGGUCUGCUGCACACAUGAUGUAACCACCAUCACCAUCCCGCUGCUGCUGGUGCAUGACAUGUCAGAGGAAAUGACCAUACCGUGGUGUUUGAAGAGAGCUGAACUGGUCUUCAAAUGUGUAAAAGGUUUCAUGAUGGAGAUGGCCUCAUGGGAUGGAGGCAUAUCGCGCACGGUGCAGUUUCUCGUGCCAAAGAGUAUUUCAGAGGAAAUGUUCUACCAGUUAAGCAACAUGCUGCCUCAGAUCUUCCGUGUCUCCUCCACCUUGACACUCACCUCAAGGCCUUGAGGGCUACAGAUGCAUCACACUCUCAAGGUGCAGGACGAGUGAUGACCUUUCCCCGUCUUUUUAAAGUCGUUGCUGUGUUUUAAGUCUGAAAUUUCGGGGGGGGGACAUGAGAAAACCCCAUUGGCUCUACCCUAAAGUGCUUACAGAUAAGUGAGGAUCCUAAAGCAGUUUAAUAAGCCUUUUGAUUUGUGUUCUCUUUAAAGCUGCAUAUCUUACUGAAAGACGACUGGGUCCCGCAGCUCGCCGAAGCAGCUGCUGCAAUUAUCAUUUCAAACCUCCAGGGUGCAGUGCCACUGACAGACUUUUAUGACAUCAGCAAACAAACCGGGAGCUUAUGUCAUUUCUUCAGAACUGAACUGCUAUCUGGAGCUUACGCUGUUUGUUGGAGCUCCAGUAUAAUACUGCAUCUAAUGACGUCAAGUGCUAUAAUUUCAUCUUGCUGGUAGGCAGUGCAAAUACAUCAUCUCGGAAGAUGGCUUUCAUACAAAUGCAGUGGAACCUCCAAUGAAGACAGUUGGGGAUGCGGGUGGUUUCAAAAUGUUUUCUCGAACAUAAAAUAUGAAUUAAUCAGUUCCAGAGUAAAACUGUGGCCAUCGUCGGACCUUUAUUAAUUGUACAGGUAAUGUUAUAAUUGUCAUAACCGUCGUACAAUUUGACCAUUGUGUAUGAGUAUGUAAAUAUGGUACAUGAUAAAAUAUAUAUAACGUAUUUUGAUGUGAGGAGGGAUCAAGGUCAUACAAGUGCAUAAAUAGGUUGACUGCUUUACAAUGACACUAAACAAAAAAAAAAUGUCCUGGCUGCUCAGUACAAUAUGGCUAAAGCGACACUAUGUUGUCAUCAGUAAUGAAAGAGGAAAAAAUAAAUGAACACCGCUACAAAGGUUUGGCUUUGUGCUGGAGACUCACCAGAGGCAAAAACGGUAACCUCCCUCUGCAGCUGCAGCCAAGUGUGACUACGAAAUGUAUCGUUUGAAAAGGGACACUGUGUAGGAAUUACUCCCAUCAAGCGUUGAAAUUGCAUAUUCCAUCCAAACAAAUCAUGCACUGUAGAACCUGUUUUAAACACGUAUUGCAACAACGGUAGCCGUCGUAUAUUAGAAAACCCAAUGAAGAUGGGUAGCUUUAGGCUAAUUUAGGCAGCGUCGACUUACUUGUUGAGGUGAAAGCCGACAACUUCAGUUUCAAGAUGACAGACUGUCAUGGUGCUCCCCUACUGGGUCACCGCUCUUAUGUAUAAAUACAUCUAAAAAUCUUUGCUUAUGAGAAUUUAUCAUAUUAUUAGCAGAGGUCAUAAUACACCAAUGAUGACACAGAUAUAAAUGGGGACAUUGAUUUUGGCCAGGAAACUGAAAAUGUUACACAGUGUCCCUUUAAUGUUGUAUUUUUUUUUUUUUUUUUUACACUUUUAUCACAGACUUUGCUAUUCAUUUACAAGGCCAUCGUGUGUCAUACGAAGCUAAGUCGACACUAUAGUUUCUAGGUUUUGAACAUGCGCCACAAUUGAAAUAGGCAUGGUCUAGUUCUUAAAGGAAGCUGUCAUGGGUGUUACACUAUAAACUAUAUGUUUACGUGACGUAACCUGUGGCUCUUUUGACCUUGUGAUGACAACGCAGGUCUGGCAGUAGGAUUAAGCAGUCCUAUCUGAAGGUGCCAUUGUUUGGUCAUUUCAUGUCUUGGCGAAAGGUUUCCUGCAGAGACAAGUGAUGUCAACUCUUCAACUUCCCAAUCGACCAUUUGCACUGGUGCAAAGAUGAGCAGUAUGCAGCUUUUUAAUGCUGCAUUGCAGUGAGCCCGAGUGAGGAUCAUUCUGCUUAGAGCUCCAGUUCAUACAGAUGUCAGUGUUUUUGUUUCUCCAAAAAUAUCCAUGUAUACCUACUUGCCUGUACAUUUACUUUUUGAUAAAACAUUAACAUAUUGAAACACCAAAUUCUUAAUUCCUCAAGAAAAUCUCUUCACAGAGUUACCGCUUGAUAUGAUUAUGAUUUAUAUUUGUCAGGCUCAGUGUGUCAAUCUGAAUUGACGAGUUGGCCAAGGGCACAGAACCGCUCCAACGGUAUUAUUAAUCCAUAUAAGUGAUUGGAAUUGCCUUUGUGCACUUUUUAAAUGGGUUUGUCAACACUUUUGAGUUUGAGUGAAAUCUCUUCAGUUUGACAGAAAGUUUGGCCGUCAGUAUCGAGGGUGUGUUGAUGACAAUGGGCUAUAGUCACCGUAAGAAAAUUAAAACAAACACCGCAUCACUUCUUUCGUGAUAAACACAGUCAGCAGGAUGUGCAGAGGAAACGUCGAGUUAGGAGUUCGCACGAUAAAUCACGCUACCGUGUUGAGAAAUGAUGAAAUUAUAAAGUUCUGUUCAGCAUUCUUAGAAUUGGUCUCAGUGGUCUUGAGUGUUGGGUUUCCUUAAACACAGCACACAUCGUCUAUUCAGUACUAUAGCUAGUCCGUGUGUGCUAUUUAUGUGCUUGAAAAAUGAUGAGUGCAGUUUACUUUCACAGCUACGUCAUUGCAUGAAAGCAGCUACAACAGCUAAAGAUUGUGUUUAUAAACUACCAAAAAUAACCAUGACCCAACUCCCUUAACCCCUUUUGAAAUGUAUAAUUAUUUUAACUAUGUAAAACCAACAUUACAGCAAGCGUUGUUUUAGUCCAAAAGUACACUCCCAUCCAAAAGUAUUGGGACAACAAGGUCAAUUCCUUUGUUUUUUGUUGUAUACUGAAGAUAUUUGGGUUUCAGAUCGAAAGAUGAAUAUGCGACAAAAGUUCAGAAUUGCAGCUUUUCUUUCAUGGUAUUUACAUCUGAGUGUGUUCAACAACUCAGGACAGAGCACCUUUUGUUCGAAGCCUCCCACUUUUCAACUGAGCAAAAGUAUUGGAACAGACUAUUCAAUUAACUUACCGAAGCGAUUAACAUUUUAUAUUUGGUGGCAUAACCCUGACUUGCAAUCACUGCAUCACGCCUGCGACCCAUUGACUUCACCGGAAUGUUGCGUUCUUCAUUUGAAAUGUUUUUUCAGGCCUUUACUGCUGCCCAUGUCAAAUCUUUCUGGGGGUUUCGCCCUUCAGUCUCCUCUUCAGGAGGUAAAAUGCAUGCUCUAUUGGGUUAAGAUCCGAUGAUUGACUUGACAGUCGAAGACCUUCCACUUCCCCCCCCCCCCCCCCGAUGAAGUCCUUUGUUGUGUUGGCAGCGAGUUCUAGGUCAUUGUCUUGUUGCGUGAUGAAGCUUCUCCCGAAUAGUUUGGAUGCAUUUUUCUGUAAAUUGCCAGACAAUUGUAGACUUCAGAUUUCAUUCUGCUGCUACCAUCAUGAGUUAUGUCACCAAUAAAGACUAGUGGGCCUGUUCCAGAAGCAGCCGUGCAAGCCCAUGCCAUGACAUUACCUCCACCAUGCUUUACAGAUGAGCUUCUGUGUUUUGGAUCAUAAGCAGGUCCUUUCUUUCUCCAUACUUUGGCCUUAGAGGUUCAUCUUGGUCUCAUCAGUAUGGCGGCCUGGAAGUGGAAAACAAUGGCACAAAUUGUGAAAGACUUUUACAUUUCAGCAAACGACAAAAGCCAAAACACUUUUACAAAAGACAAAACAAAUGACAAAAGACGAAACACCCGGAAAGGGAACGUGCCAUUUCGCAGGCAUUCCCACGGCGAAAUCCCACGGCGUUUCUCUGCGAGACCUGGCCCGCUUGGACAUGAUCGGCUGCCGCAUCGCUGUAUGUAGGCUACGCAGAUGUAACGAGAUGUCAUCGUGAAUGUGCACCAUCAACUGUAAGUUGCAAGGCACUUAUUUUAAAAUUGAAUGACUGACAAUUUACAGGAAGCAAUCUAUUUUUGAGGAUGUAUCACUAUUUCGAAGAAGUCACAACCCUUUCCUUCCCUUUUUUAACGAACGGGGUAAAAACUUGACACUGUCAAGGGGCCCUGGCCAUUUUGGGGGACCCAGUUGUCCGACACUGGUCCCGAGAAAAUGAUGAAUGGCAAAGGUACUCACGCUCUGUACUUAACUACAAGUAAAUAUACUUGUGUACAAAAUGUCUAGCAAAGGUACAAGUACUGAUAUAGCUCCCCCCGUGCUCAUGUCCAUAACUAAAAAGUAAAAAAGAUAUAUAUAUAUAUUUUUUUUGAAACUAUGUAUUCGUGUAUAUUGUUGCUGUCAGUUGGAAAGACUAU